rnacentral:rRNA from 1 species
AUUGAACGCUGGCGGCAGGCCUAACACAUGCAAGUCGAACGAGUGGCGGACGGGUGAGUAAUGUCUGGGAAACUGCCCGAUGGAGGGGGAUAACUACUGUAAACGGUAGCUAAUCCCGCAUACCAUCCGAUGCGCCCAUAUGGGAUUCUAUAGUAGGUGGGGUAAAGGCUCACCUAGGCGACGAUCCCUAGCUGGUCUGAGAGGAUGACCAGCCACACUGGGACUGAGACACGGUCCAGACUCCUACGGUAGGCAGCAGUGGGGAAUAUUGCACAAUGGGCGCAAGCCUGAUGCAGCCAUGCCGCGUGUAUGAAGAAGGCCUUCGGGUUGUAAAGUACUUUCAGCGGGGAGGCGUUACCCGCAGAAGAAGCACCGGCUAACUCCGUGCCAGCAGCCGCGGUAAUAC